UACGAAGGGGACUAGCGUUGUUCGGAAUCACUGGGCGUAAAGCGCACGUAGGCGGAUGUGUCAGUCAGGGGUGAAAUCCCGGGGCUCAACCUCGGAACUGCCUUUGAUACAGCACGUCUCGAGUCCGGAAGAGGUGGGUGGAAUUCCUAGUGUAGAGGUGAAAUUCGUAGAUAUUCGGAAGAACACCAGUGGCGAAGGCGGCUCACUGGCCCGGUACUGACGCUGAGGUGCGAAAGCGUGGGGAGCAAACAGG
rnacentral:rRNA from 1 species